rnacentral:tRNA from 1 species
GUCCCCAUCGUCUAGAGGCCUAGGACAUCGCCCUUUCACGGCGACAACACGGGUUCGAAUCCCGUUGGGGACGCCA